rnacentral:rRNA from 1 species
GACGAACGCUGGCGGCGUGCUUAACACAUGCAAGUCGAACGGAAAGGCCCUGCUUUUGUGGGGUGCUCGAGUGGCGAACGGGUGAGUAACACGUGAGUAACCUGCCCUUGACUUUGGGAUAACUUCAGGAAACUGGGGCUAAUACCGGAUAGGAGCUCCUGCUGCAUGGUGGGGGUUGGAAAGUUUCGGCGGUUGGGGAUGGACUCGCGGCUUAUCAGCUUGUUGGUGGGGUAGUGGCUUACCAAGGCUUUGACGGGUAGCCGGCCUGAGAGGGUGACCGGCCACAUGGGGACUGAGAUACGGCCCAGACUCCUACGGGAGGCAGCAGUGGGGAAUAUUGCACAAUGGGCGGAAGCCUGAUGCAGCAACGCCGCGUGCGGGAUGACGGCCUUCGGGUGGUAAACCGCUUUCGCCUGUGACGAAGCGUGAGUGACGGUAAUGGGGAAAGAAGCACCGGCUAACUACGU